rnacentral:rRNA from 1 species
UCACCGGGUUCUCCACCUUCAUCUCCGGUGACUUCCUCCCCGGUCUCCUCUCCCAGCCUGUCACCGGAUUCUACACCUUCAUCUCCGGUGACUUCUUCGUCGCCACCCCCUGAUUCUACCUUGCCGAUUCCUCCUUCUAUUAUUCCAUCUUUUCCUCAGCAUUACACUCGUCGUCCACGACCAGUCGAUGCCUCUGUGGAUGGGUCGUCAUCUUCCUCUCAGCCUACUUAUGGCUUGCGUUCUCGUCCUCGUCCGCCUGUUGAUCGCUUUGGAUUUCCCACCGCUGAUGCUGCUGUUCUUGAGCCGACUUCUUACCGUCAGGCUGUUGUUCAUCCUGAAUGGCAGUUUGCGAUGGCAGAGGAGAUUGCUGCUCUUGAACGCACUGGUACCUGGGAUCUUGUUUCUCUUCCUCCCGGAGUCCGUCCGAUCACUUGUAAGUGGGUCUACAAGGUUAAGACUCGCUCCGAUGGUUCUCUUGAGCGUCACAAAGCUCGUCUUGUGGCUCGUGGUUUUCAGCAGGAGCAUGGUCAUGAUUAUGACGAGACUUUUGCUCCUGUGGCUCAUAUGACCACUGUUCGUACACUUCUU